AAGUCGUAACAAGGUUUCCGUAGGUGAACCUGCGGAAGGAUCAUUAAUGCUUUUUUUUUUGUUUCUUUGUUCUCUUCAAACGAGAUGCAAAAGUGAACUCUUUCUUUUCUUCCAUAGCAAAAAGAAAAACAAAGAAGAAAAACCAAAAGAAGAAGAAGAAGAAACAGCAAAACAAUGAGCAAUGAUUUUUUUCAUUGUUCUUGUUUGUUUGCUUUCUUUCUUUCUUUUUUGUUUCUUUUCUUUCUCUUGUUUUCUUUUUUCUUUUUUUUCAACUCCAACAACAACAAAGAAAAACCAAAAUUGACAUACCAAAAACCAAAACUAAAUAACAAAACAACAAAAUAACAACUCUUAACAAUGGAUAUCUUGGCUCUC
rnacentral:misc_RNA from 1 species